AGCGAACGCUGGCGGCAGGCCUAACACAUGCAAGUCGAACGAACCUUUCGGGGUUAGUGGCGGACGGGUGAGUAACACGUGGGAACGUGCCUUUAGGUUCGGAAUAACUCAGGGAAACUCGUGCUAAUACCGAAUGUGCCCUUCGGGGGAAAGAUUUAUCGCCUUUAGAGCGGCCCGCGUCUGAUUAGCUAGUUGGUUGAGGUAAUGGCUCACCAAGGCGACGAUCAGUAGCUGGUCUGAGAGGAUGAUCAGCCACAUUGGGACUGAGACACGGCCCAAACUCCUACGGGAGGCAGCAGUGGGGAAUCUUGCGCAAUGGGCGAAAGCCUGACGCAGCCAUGCCGCGUGAAUGAUGAAGGUCUUAGGAUUGUAAAAUUCUUUCACCGGGGACGAUAAUGACGGUACCCGGAGAAGAAGCCCCGGCUAACUUCGUG
rnacentral:rRNA from 1 species